UUUGCUUAAAAUAAAAGGUCCAGCCUGCCCAGUGACACUGUUCAACGGCCGCGGUAUCCUAACCGUGCGAAGGUAGCGUAAUCACUUGUUCUUUAAAUGAGGACUAGUAUGAAAGGCACCACGAGAGUCAUACUGUCUCCUUUUUUCAAUCAGUUAAACUAAUCUCCCCGUGAAGAAGCGAGGAUAACUAUAUAAGACGAGAAGACCCUAUGGAGCUUUAAACGAAUAACACUUGCCCACUUACUCCUUUAAAUUUCAGAAAAAUCUAUUACCUUGGCAUCAUACUUAUAAGUUUUUGAUUGGGGUGAUCACGGAACAAAAAAUAACCUCCGCAAUGAAAGACUCUCCAUAACUAAGUCAAGAACCACAACUCUACACAUCAACAAAUUGACACCAAUUGACCCAAUUUAUUGAUCAAUGAAC
rnacentral:rRNA from 1 species